CAGAGAGCAAGGAAUAGCACUAACUAAAAGUGAUGUGCCAAGAAGACGGGAUUUGGCCAUGCAGAGAAGCCAAGGGACAGCCCAGUCUGAGCAGAGUGCUGCUCAUGGACCUGUCAUUGUUCUCAUCACCUGCCCCUGUGGCCAUGGUGGUCCUCUGACAGAAACUUUGGAGAAGGGGAGGAGAGAAGGAGGUUUGCUCACUGCUUCUGCCAGCAACUAUUUUAUUUCUGUUUGUCUUUACAUCAAAAUCCCUUCACAGUGAUGGCCACAAAAUGUUGUAGAAGGUGAAAAUACAUCUGGGUUCAGAAAGAGACCAGAUGAAGAGCACAAACAAGAUUGAAUCCUGCUCACAAUGGGAUGAAGGGAAACAUAGAUUAUCUGUCCCCAGGAAAAAUAAGGAAGGAAUUAGCCCUGCAUUGUGCGCGCUGACACGCUAAAAGCGAGCUGGCUUGGGAGCAAGAAGUUGCUGUGCCCCAGGACGGACCGGGGUGGAGUCCGGAGGGGUGUGGAGGGGGGGCUUCUCCCCGCUCUCCUCUCCAGGAGGGGAGACCCAGAGUCCCCCCUACACUUCGAGACGAGCUAAUCCCUGAAUACACUGAGUAACAGGCGCUGCAUUACGGGGCUGCCCUGAUCCCCCGGCCGUGGCCGCGCCGCCUCGCCUUGGGCAGGUGCCCGCUCUUCUCGCGUGCUGCCCGCCCCGGUGCGGAGGGAAGCGCGGGCGCGGAGAGGGGCGGAGCGGUGCUCACGCAGCCCCCCCCACCCCCGCCGGCCCCCGCCGCGCCGCCGCCACCGGGAUAAAGGCUGAGGCGUGACACGCGCGGACGCAGCGCUGCCCGCUGCCUGCCCGGCCCCCCUGCCGCAACCCCCAGGUGCCCCCGGGAGCCCGCACGCAGAAGGCAGG